rnacentral:rRNA from 1 species
AAAAAUUAAAUUGAUUUUUAGAGUAGUGUUGGUUAUAAUCCUUAAACUCAAAAGAUUUGGCGGUAUUUUAUCUUAUUAGAGGAAUCUGUUUAUUAAUUGAUAUUCCACAAUUAUUUUUUACUUUUAUUAUUAAACUUGUAUACCGCCGUCAUGAAUCUAUUUAAAUAUUAAUUUUCUAUUUUUUUUAUGUAAUUUAUGUUAGGUCAAGGUGCAGUAUUUAAGAGCUUAAAAUGGAUUACUAUAUAAAUUAUGUAUGGUACUAUAAAAAUAAUUAAUAGAAAAAAAGGAUUUAAUAGUAAAUUUAUCAGUAUUUAUAAUAUGAAUUGAGAUUCUAAAAUAUGU